GAAUUGAAUUGAAUUGAAUUGAAAUUCAGUUAUGGGUGCCCACAGAAGUUACAGUUCUUGACAAAUACGUUAAUAAACACUUACUGCUUACAACUAGUGUGUUACAAAUCCUUUUAUUAACUGUUUCAAUACUGAUUAUAAAUGCUAAAUAUAGGGACUUGAAGUGAAGUGUCACCACAUAAAAAAAUUGCACUGUUUAUUACAUAGAAUGCAGUGUGCAGCGAAAUUUCACAUCUGGACACCCGAAGAAGACUUUCUUAUUUGCCUGUUUUUAGCCCUUUUUGUCCCAAAGUUAGUAAAGCUUACUUCUUCACUGCAUUCUUUGUUGUUAGUGUUCUAGAAGUUCCUGAUGCAGUAACCAGGCUGUGAUCCCUCACUGGCUUCCCGCCGGUGAAUGAUGUGGUUGAGUGUUUGCAUGUGUUCACUGUAAUGUGUGACCAGGCUGAAUGGACCAAGGAAUGAAUCAAGGGUUAGGAGAUUGGAACCUGGAGACACACUGUUGGUGUGUUUUGCCCCACAGAGACACGACCAGUUGUUCCAAGGCAAAGAUCUAGGCUUGUACGCUGUGGACUGACUGCUAUAGGGCCAGCACUGAAGCUUGCCUGACCAGUAUUUCACUGGGUUUAUCACUAAGGCUGAUGUCCCCAUCUGGCAGGUGCAGCCACAGGACCACACAGAUCCAUCCUACAGACAGAUGUCCUCUUCAUUGUCUCCACAUCAACACUGUUUGGGAAACAGCUAACUUUAUUGUCUAGCCUAGCUUUAGCUUUUCCCUGGACUCAGCAGCAACCCGAUUACAACUCUGGCAUCCUGAUCAUCACUACCAUCCAUGACAGCAACAGAUUCAUCCCCAUCAACUUCAAGAGUUCCCAAAUACAGUGACCUGAUGAUGGAGUACAAGUCAUGCAGGAGGGGGAUGACCUCAGAGAUGGAGACACUAUGUUUUGAGAGUGCCUGUUUGACCUCCACCAGCUGCUGGAGCAUAUAGAAUGUAUAGUUCCACCUUGUUGUUAUAUCUGUUAUGAGCGUGUGCAGAGGGAGAUCCAGCUGCAUCUGCAGCUCAUGUAGUCUGUUGCUGGCUUUGCUUGAGCAAUGAAUAAAGCCAGAGAUGCCUGUGGCCUUGGAGAGAAGGGAUCUCACAAACCUGGUCAACUCCAGUGCUUCGCCACCAAGUGAAGUGUACAGGACACGCAACGAAUGUGCCCAUAACUCAGGGCCUUCACUAUGUUGGCUGCAUUAUCUGAAACAACAAACACUAUUGUAAUAGACUGCUCAACAGACUCUUCCCACGCUCUUAUCUUUUCCUUAAGGCAGCACAGAAUGUUUUCUGAUGUGUGCUCAAUGUCUAGCACACCAACAUUUAGCAGCCCUGCUUUCCCCUGUACUGAAGACUCCCCUCCACAUUCACACCAGUGCCCAGUAAUACAGAGAUAUGUGUGAGCAUUGUGGUAGCUGGUCCAGAGAUCAGUAGUGAGGUUGAUGACACCUCCCUCAGCUGCCUUAAGUGACUGGACCAACUCCCCUCUCAUUGCCUCAUAAAGCUCAGGCACUACAGUUAGACUGAAAAAGUACUUCGAUGGGAUCUUAUAUUUGGGCUCUGGAAAGGCAAAUGACUUGAAACCUCUCCCCUCCACCACAGGGAAAAGCUCAAGAUUAGCGCAGAUCAUUUUACCUAUUAUCACUGUAAUUUUUUUUGACCAAGAGUGGUUUGCUGGGAAUUGCUGCUUGGCUGCAAAUGCCUGAUUUGGUGGGCUUUCUCAUGUGAUGAACAUAUAACAUGAUUAUGUAGAGAUGAUGUAUUAUAAUGUUUUGAAUCCCUACCUCAGCUGAUUUUGGACUUCCAAAGCUUAGAAAUGGCUUUGGAGGGAUCCCUUUCACAAAUGGUGAAAGAGUCCUAUACUGUAGAGGUCCUCUUGGUCUUUGGUGGAGGAGGACCACCAUAACCAGAUGCAAUAUUGGUCCCAGUGGGGGGAAAAUGGGUAGUUUCAUUGCCACUGACUUGAUCCUCACUGCCCUAUAAGGUUGAGCAAACCCUGACUGCUGGUUCAGUGUCAAUGAAAUUACACUCUGUAUCACUCAUUGUAUAAUCACUGAUGGUAUAAGUUUCAAAUAAAUAGCAUAAAAAUGUGAGAGAGUGGGAGGGAGAGAGAGAGAGAGUGUGUGUGUGUGUUUGUGUGUCUGUGCAGUCAAACACAUUGGCUAUGUAACAGUUCAAUAUAUAUCCAAAUAUUUAAAUCCCAUAAAUAAAGUCUAUAUAUAUUUAAGGCCUUAAUUUGUAAUAUUUAUACUAUUAUUUAUUGUUAUGAGCUAUAGUGAGAAAAAGUGUCAGGCACUCAGUGCAUGAACAGCCAUAUUUAAUAAAAAUAAAUAAUGAAAAUGUGUUCAGCAAAUAAUGUGUGUGUGUGUUUGUGUGUGUGUGUGUGUGUGUGUGUGUGUGUGAAUGGAUGGUCAAGUAGUUAUGUGCUAUAGUAGAUACACAAUGCAAGAUUCAGCCUGUUUUUUUUAUUUGCAGCCUAGAUCAUUUUUAUGAGUGUGUGAGUGUUACGUGUAUGUAUGUACAUGAAACAGUGUGUAUUGUGCAUGAUCGUUGUGAUUGUACCUGUGUGUCCAUGUAUGUGGGUGCACAUUUCACAUUUGUCCUCUUUCACCUUGUCCUCUAACAGAUACAAGGCUGCAUGUUCAACAUGUGCACGUGCAGCAUAAUAACGUUCACCAUCACUCCUCUCCUCUCCAUUUCAAUACUGUUUCUCUCUCUUUUUGUUACCAUCACACUCAUACGUGCAAACACACACACAUGGCACCACACUUUCUCUCUCUGGAAAGUACACUCCACGCCUGCCCAGCAGCCCUGGAGUGUGAUUCAUGUGUGUUUUUCUUCCUUGCUGUUCUGCGGUUGGAAUAUACAGUAGCUAAGGCUGAAACCACCUGUUCUCCCUCUAGGAAGAGAUGGAGAGGCAGAGAUCGAAAGAGAGUACAACACAAAGUUAGGAUGCUGCAGAGAGAAAACGAAAAAGAGAGUCUGUCGCUCCAAGGGAUGGACAAAAUGAUGGAAACACUACACGAAAGGCUAACUUUGAAGCAGCUAAAUCCUAGAGGCAGCAACAGAGUCUUUAUGCUAAGCUAACCAGCUGCUGGCUGAAGCUUCUUAUUGAACGGACAGAUAUAAGAGUGGUAUCGAUCCUCUCAUCUAACACUCAGCAAGACAGUAAGCAAAUGCUAAAGGUUAGAAAGUUUUGAAGGUCGUGCCAACUCUGCUUCCACCAUCCAUCUACAAGAGAAGAGGAAAAGUCUUCAGACCCACCACUGAGGAGUCCCAGAGGUCAUUUAUUGACAUGCAACCUUUAAGUUUUGCUUUAGUUUUUGAAGGUUUUUACUGCUUGAUAUGAUUGAUAACUAUGAAGUUUAAUUUCUCAUUUCGUUUUACAUUCACAGUUUGUUAUUUUUUCUUUUCAAACAUUCUGGCCCUAAAUUACCUUCAUAGAUAACCCUCUAGUGAUUACGGGAGUUCUGUAGCCAACUAUUUGAGAUGGAGCAGAUUUUUAUGAUGGCAGUGCCUAAUACUCUCAAACACAGGGGCAUGACUGAAGUUACUGAUGGCUAAAUUGGUCUGGUGUUUUAUCUACAGUCCUUCUUUUUAGCACCAGGGUUGUUCAUCAUAUCCUGUGUAUUCAUGAAUAGGAGCUUCCAAACAAUGAAAUUUAUUCACUUAACACUAUACCUGUAAGAUCUGAUGUGUGCAAAUAGCAGCGCAGGUGUGUGGGUUUGUGUUUUUAAUUGUUAAUGACAUUAUCAACAUUAAAGUAAUAUUAACAAUAGUAUUAUUUGCCCAAACUACUAUUUCAAAAUAAGUUUUGUAUUAAGUUGCAAAGACUGGGUUUGAAUACAAAUUUAAUUUGUUUGCCUUAAACAUAUUUGCAUUCUCAUAUUUUGCAAUGUUUAUACAUAUUUGCAAUCGAUGGUUUUUGGUGAUCUUACUUUUAUUUCUUUUUUGCAUUUUGAUACUAUCACAAAGUAAGCUCCAUAACUUCAGUUUCAGUUAUAUUGCAACACUAAGUGACUGAUGUGUAAUUAACAGGUGGGGGCCAACAUGGUUGAGUAUUUACAAAAUACAGAGACCAAUUAACCGUUCUCGCACAUUUUGUGCCUUGGGGAUGAGAUGACUACAUGCCAGGCCUUCACCAAUAAUUUCUGGCCACGCCAUCGAAACAGACUCCUUGCUGGGGGCUGUUGAUGUUUGUUUCAAGGCAUUCUCUGUGUUUGACAUCAAUUACACCAAGCUGUUCAGUUGGGUUAUUUUUCAACCCAGCAUUCUUUUGAGUAUAUGUUUCUGUCUAUUUUGCUGUCACAUUGUAAUAACCCUAAAUGUAUAUGUAAAUUGGGUGCCUUCUUGAAGAAUCUUUAGCCUUUGUUUAAGUUAUUUAUAGUGCACUUUUAUUCCUGCUGUGUGCUGUUGUUUUUUCAUUAUUGUAUCAUGUCAUUAUUAUAGUUGAGGUCCUCGACUUUCUCUUUUUGUACUUUAAGUGCAUGUUUUCCUGUCACAUAUUUAACUGCAGUUUAAGUUGUCUUUUCUUUAAAUUGAGGAGGAUACUAAAUAUGAUCCACACCAUAUUUGUGGUCUUCAUUCCAUCAUUUUUCAUACACAAGAGUUACAACAGAGAACAUUUACCAGGACGACACUAUGAACAACAAUGUGUGCCACUGUACUAUAUAUGCUGUGCUGAAUAUGUAGAUGGAGAAAAGACGUGUUCUGUGAUCACUGGAAAACUUUAGAUUAUACAACGCUUGUUUAUAUUUAGAGUGAACAGAUCACAGAAAGAGGCCAGCAGUAAUGUAUGAGUCUGAAGAAGCGAUCCAAUGCUACUAAGUCACUCCAUACCUUUCAUGGAGUGUAAUAAUUUGCUUUGGUAAUCAGGACACAAGCUCUGCAUCCCAAGAGAUGGGAAAACUAGCAGCAUCGGCCACAAAUGGAGCCUUGCAGUAGUUCAGGCAAGGCCAGAAGAUGCUUAAUAUACACAUUCCAUAUACCAUCCGAUCAUGUAUGACCAUGACCUAUCCAUAUAAACUAGGUGAUCCCUGUAUAGUGCUGUACAAAGUUUUGAUGUCAUUUGAAUUCUCAACACUGCAUCCCACUAUACUGCUAACUUAACUCCCUCUACUCCCCCAGUCUCUUCCUGCAUUAGCAUUUAGAUGUAGGUGAAAUCAGAAUGUUUUUCUCUUUAUGCGUUCUUGUUCAUUCAAAUGUUGUGUACCCAAGGUUCGGCUGGUUGAGGGGGGUGGGGGUUCACCAGCUCAGAGACAGUUCAUGUCGGGUUCACACAGAUUUGUUUCUGAAUCAUCAGAGCAGAGCCGAACCACCAAAUUCAAAUGUUUGUUAUUGUUGAAAUAAAGCCUUGAC